rnacentral:misc_RNA from 1 species
GAUGAAGAACGCAGUGAAAUGCGAUAAGUAAUGUGAAUUGCAGAAUUCAGUGAAUCAUCGAAUCUUUGAACGCAUCUUGCGCUCCUUGGUAUUCUGAGGAGCAUGCCUGUUUGUGUGUCAUUAAAUUCUCAACUACACUGACUUUGAAUUGGUGUGGCUUGGAUUUGGGGGGAAAAUUGUUGUGGGCUUUUUGUAUAGUCUGCUCCCCUGAAAUUGAUUAGCGGUACCUUUGUGGAACUGUCUACAGGUGUGAUAAUUAUCUACAUCUUAGACAUCUGCUGGAAUGCUGCUCUCUAAACCUUACUUGUAUUGACAAUCUUGACCUCAAAUCAGGUAGGACUACCCGCUGAACUUAAGCAUAUCAAUAAGCGGAGGA